rnacentral:lncRNA from 1 species
CUUGUUCUUCAGCAUUCAAUUACUCAUCACCACCCUAUCAAACACGCAUAUUCUUCCUUUACCCUAUCUCUCAAAUAAAAAAUGGCUUCUUGUGAUCCAAAAGGAGAUGUUGUCUUGACGAUGUUUGCUCGAACAAAAAAAAUUUAGAGGAAUUCGGGGAGAUUUUUAAGAAAGUUGACCACAUAAAUAAAGGAACAGAAUUUGAUGUUGGUUUUGCUCAAAGAAUAGAGAAAAUCGAUAAGAAUGUUAAGGAAGCUAGCCAAUAUUAUUCUUAUUUGGAGAAAGAAAAAGCAGCAGAUGAUACCUUUGUGAGUGAUGAAGUAAUGGAAAUGGUUAAGGAUCUUGAUAGCGUGAGUAUUGGUCUGAACAACCUCUUAAAACAAGAGUGGAACUCAUCUCCGUCGAUGAUGAUUUGAUAACUCCAAACCAGAGAAUAAAAAUUAAUUGUCAUUGAUUUGAAGACUAAUCCCUACAUAUCAUCAUACUAAUACAAGAACAACAAUAAUAACGAUGAUGAUAAUUUAUGAAUACAUUGGAUGAAAUUGAUAUUUUUCUAUAUAAUAAUAUUAUUUUAAUGUAUAAAUAUGUAACAUGCAUAUUGAUUAAUUUAAUAAGAUUUUUACAAAAAAUAAUAAUUCGUAUUGCAUUAAUUAUUACAAGAUAAGAAGCGGAUAUGUGACGGCCAAAUAAGUAUGAUACAUAUUGCAUAUGGCUUACUACAACAGAUUUGUGAACAAAAAUAAACGUCGCAAAUAGCUCAAGGCAAAUG